GGAUAGAGUAUUGUGGGCCCAUUGGUUGUCAUGGAUCAUGGGUCUAGGCCCAUUUGGUGAGGUGGGCCCAAUUUUGUAAAUUGGGCCAAUAGUGGGCUUUGCUUCGGACUUUUGGACUUUGGGCCAUUGGUGGGCUUGGGAGCUUACCUAGUGUUGGGCUGGAUUGAGUUAAGGGUAAAAUGGUCAAUUUACCUUGGAAGGGUUUUGUGCUUAGCCUAAUGAUUAUUUGUGCUAUGUUGGCUAGUUCGGGAUUUUCGGUGAGUCGGUGAUUCGAGAAUCUGCGUCUUCAGUUCAGAGUUUCGGCAGUGCGAGGUGAGUUAUCCUCACUAUAUCAACAGGGUCUAAGGCACCAAGGCCGACCCUUUAUCGGAAUGAGAUCCGGGUAUUUGUUGUUAUGAUAUUGCUUUGAUAUGUUGCAUCCUGGUAGCUAGGAUGGUAUAUGUUAGAGACCUGGUUGAGGUCGGUAUCCUGAUAUGUAGGGUGAUGCUAUGCUAGUGACCGGUUAGGUCGGUAUCCUGGUUAGGAUGAUGAUAUGUUAUGUGAUCUGUUUGAUCGGCUUGUUGACUGUGAAUUGUUAUAUGAUUGUAUGUUUAUGUGCACAUGGUUGUUUGGACUGGAGUUGGGUUGAGGCGGGUCCUGCUUUGUGCUGUAGGCCAAGAUACCCAGGGCGGACCGGUUGUCCCGAAGGCCCAGCGAGCGGUCCGGAUAGGCUGUAGGCCCCAAGAGGGCGGACCAGACGUGCCGAGGCUCGGAGAGUGGACCAGGCCGACUGAAGGCCCGGUGCGGGCGGACCAGUCAUACUGUAGACUCAGAGAGUGGACCAGGUGGAUUGAAGGCCCGGUGCGGGCGGACCAAUCACACUGCAGACUCGAUGUAUAUGGCUAGACUCGGAGGGUGGACCAGGUGGACUGUUGGCCGGUGCGGCGGACCAGUCACACAGUAGACCCGAAGUGCAUGGUUGUUCUGUGAUCGGAUAUGAUAUGGCAUGUUAUGCGUGUAUGGUAUAUGUGGUUGGUAUUUUGGGGAUAUCUCACUAAGCUUUCGGGCUUACAGUUGUGGUUUAAUGUUUUUCAGGUUCUUCAGGAGACCGUGGCAAGGCGAAGGCGUGAUCGUACCGCUCCUCAUGUUUAUGUUGUGAUGUGAUUCUGGGAAUACUCUAAAUAAAUUGUAUUGAAAACCUUUUUGUAAUAAUUUAAUGAAAUCGGGUUGUUUUUGAAAAGUUUAAAUUGGUUGGAAUUUUUCGGUCGUUACAAAAUGGUAUCAGAGCCUUGGUUUGAGUGAAUUGGAGGAACACUCGUGUGACUCCAGUCUCAAAUCGAGGAGAGUUUUCAAAAGAGAAUUUAAAAUGGUUUUCAAAAUGAGUAAAGGAGGACGCGGAGGUACGAUCAGCCGGAGCCAGUAAGUAACCCCAAAAUACCAUACAUGAUAUUUGUUUUUGAGCUUUGAUAGAACAGCAUGCUAGUGCUAGGCUAGGGAUCUUCAGGAUUUCAUGAUAAUGUUGCCUGAUUUAUGAUGCCUGUUAGCCUAGGGUUUCCUUGUGGGAGAUUUCCAGUGUUCCUCUAGUAGUGAGGGUUGAGCGUUUGUUAUGUAUGUUUUCACUAGGGUGUUGUGGUAGUACUUCAUACAAAUAUGGGUAGGUGUGGAAGGUAGUAUGGGCCCGUACUACUGAAAGCACAGGACCCAUACGCGUAUCAGGGAAACCAUGACCUCUAGGGUUGGGUUGAGAGUUGGUUCCCGGGUUAGUGGGAAGUGUCUGAGAUUUUGUGGUGUUUUUCAGUAUGGAGAUUCCGAGGCAUGCUGGGAGUGGAUCCGGGUCAGGAUCGGGAGCAGGAGAGGGAGUUCCGGGCGGGUCAGUACCGCCCGAGGUUAUUGGUCAGAUGAGCACGUGCGAGUUGGAUGCGAGGAUUCGUGAGAUCCUGCAUGAUGAGGUUGCUGCGUUGUUCCGGGCUGAGUUGCCGGAACUGUUUGGGUCGAUCAAGACCGCCAUGGUUGAGUAUUUUGAUGAGCGCUAUGCAGCUCUCACAGAGACGGCUGCCGCGGCGGCUACAACGGCUGUAGCAGCGGCAGGGGGAGGAGCUGGUCGGGGUUUUCAGUAUCGGGACUUCGAUAAUACGAAGCCUCCCACCUUUGAUGGAGUUCAGGACCCGAUUGUUGCUAUGAGAUGGUUAUCGGACGUGGAGGGGUGUUUCUUCACGUGUUCAUGCCCUGCUGAUCAGAGGGUGAGGUGUGCUCUGAACCUGUUGAGGCUCGGGGCGAAGGAUUGGUGGAGAUUGACCACGGGGUCAUAUUCGGAUGCGCAGAAGGCUGCGGUUUCAUGGGAUCAGUUCAGAGAGAUGUUCAGCACUCGUUAUGUUCCGCGGGUUGAGAGAGAGAGAUUGGCUCAGGAGUUCCUCGAGCUGAAGCAGGGUUCGAAGUCGGUGACUGAGAUCACCAGGAUGUUCACUGAGAGGGCGAUGACAGUUUGUGUCUCCGCAGAGGUGUGAGACUUUGUUGGAGUUGCAGGAGGCCGCCAGGCAGCGUGAGUUGGAGAUUGAGUUGUAGUUGCGAGAGCUGAGGCAGGCUCCGGUGCAGUCGCAGUCGGUGCCGAAAUGGUCCAAGACCGUUGAUUCUAGGGUGGGAGAUCAGAGUAGCCACGCUUGUGGGAAGUGUGGGAGGGGUCACACUAGAGUUUGUAGGUCCGGUGGUGCAUGCUGCAAGUGCGGAAAGGAGGGGCACUAUGCGAGGGAUUGUCGGCAGUCAACGCUGGCUCGGGAUUUGAGGAUUUGUUAUCAUUGUCAUCAGGUUGGGCACUUGAGGGUCAACUAUCUACAGCUUGCUGCAGGACCGGUGCAGGCUCCAGCACCGACCACUUUGAGGAUCAUGGGUGGAGGUGAGGGUGGAGCAGAGCCCCCAAGGGCUCAGGGUCGUGCUUUUCAGGUUACAGCAGAGGAGGUCAGAGCAGUGCCGGAUGCAGCCACGGGUAUGUUUCUUUCUUGAUGUCUUGUUAUCUUGUGAUUAUUGUAGAGUGUUGUUAUCUGCUAGUCUCAUUGUGUGGUUUUUGGUGUGGUAUUCGUUGUUCUUUGAGGGUUAUGGUAUGGUUAUGGGGUAGUGUUGGGAAAUUCGUUGGUUAUCAUACAUGGGGGUUAUUAGUGGAAAUCUGGCGUCUGGUUUGAAGGUUGGGUAGCAUCUACAUUCUGAGGAGUGGUUAGCUGCAGAUUGAGUUUCUUUCGAGCUCGAAAUGAUCAGUGUUGAUAUGUGAUUUUGUGAAGGUUGCUCGUGCUUGCGGGACGCAAUUCGCGUGUAAGUGAUUGUGUUGUGUAAGGUUGUUGAGGGAGGUCGGUGAUGGCGAUCGGUGAUUAAUAGUCAGUGCUAUAAGUGGGGGAGAAUUGGAAAAUUCUCCAGAAGAUCAAUGAGCAUGUGAAGUUGUUUAGCUAUUUGGGAUUCAGUAGUAUUCUGUCAGCCAAGAGCGUAGGCUGGUAUGAGUAAGCGGCAGGCAUGCGGGUCGGGAUACAGACAGGGUAUUUGAUUGUGGAGGGCCUAGGAUCCGGCCGGGAUUGAGUAUGUAUGAUGGAGAUAGAGUUCGAAACCCCUAGAGGGCUNUUAAAGGGCUAGAACAGUGCACAUAGGAGGUUUUCUGGGAGUGAUAGCUCGGAAUGAUGAAUGCUAGUUGAGCGGUCCGGAUAGACUGAAGGCCGGUAGGCGUACCAGUCAAGCCGAAGGCUCGGAGGGCGGUCCUGCCAGACUGAAGGCCUUGGAGGGCGGUCCAGAUUGGCUGAAGGUUCUGAGACUGGUCCAGAUUGGCUGAAGGCUUGGUAAGGCGGUCCAGUCAUGCCGAAGACUCUGCAGGUAUUGUUAGACCGGUUUGAGGAAAUGGGUUGAGUUUGUCGCGAUGUGUUAGCCUUAGAAGGUCUGGCCCCGGGUAUUGAUCUUGAUUAGUGGAGAUAGUGCAUGGACUCGAGAGUCCUUGCGAGCAGAUUCAGAGCAUGUGUGUUGCAUGGAUAGCGGUUAUGCUAUAAGGGAGUGGUGUAGCAUUGGGCGAGCACCGUGGCACUUGUCACAGUGACAAGGUGGCGAAGUGGAUUUCCUUAGUAAGGAAAGAGAGAGGAAUGUAGCUCCGAGAGGGAGUGUAAAUUCACGGAAGUGAAAGCGGCAGUGCAGAGUUAUGAUUGGAGUGAUCCAAUUAUGGUCUUUGAGCACGUGAUUGCGGCAGUGGUAUGGAAUCACAUCCGGAUGGGAUGUCUGCUGAGGUCGCGGAAGGGAUUCCAUGGGUGUAGAGCCAAGAGGCUCGGAAGGGGUGCAGGGAUGGAGUCUUGGAUUCCCAGUUUGAUUCUGAUCAAGGAAUUGUGUAUGUAGUGGUGAUUCAUCAUGGGGGAUGUUUGGAGGUGUCGUCAGUGUGACGGGUUUUCCCAACCCGAGGGUGCUAGAGCUAGUGCAACAUGUGCAUGCGAUUGCAAGAGGAGAACUCAUGGGGGUCGCUCUGAGGCUGAAGAAUGUGUCAUCUGUCAGCAUGGAAUGGAUAGAGUUGGACUCGGAUCAGGAACCCAGUGGUUCAGGGUUAUAUCUAGCUCGUAAGAGUCAAGUGAUUGUUGUGAUCAGGAUCGAGAAAACUGCCAUGGAGUAGUACUCGGUUGAUAAGUAUAGAAUCUGAUAAAUGUGGUUAUCAAAGGGUGAAGCCGGUGGUCAGAACACCGCAAGAAAAAGGAAGAUUGAGUUUUGGACUUCAAAGGGUGUGACUUAAGGAACCUGGUUUAGUUAAUGUCAGGUGGUGCGUUGCGGGAGAAGUUCUGGAGUAGAGAUGCCGAAGGCUUCGAGGGCGAAGCCUAAUUUAAGUGGGGGAGAAUUGUAACGCCCCGUUCCUAAGAGUACUUAAUUGUGAGUCCCCGGGAUUUAAGAGGAAAAGUAUUUUGGUCAUCUCGUGGGAAAAGUGGAAUAAAGAGGGCCAAAUAUGAAAGUUGGGGACACGACGAGUACGCCCAGCGUAAGAGCGUAGUUGGACGCGGGUGCAAGGUUGAGUACGCCCAACGUACUAGAGGUACGCCCAACGUACUCUCAGAGUCCUAAAACCCUAAAUUUAGGGUCAGCCACUAUAUAAGGAACAUGUUGGUUCAUACCCUAGCCUCCCUAAGCUCUCCCUUAACCUCAGAAACCCUAGAUAGCCGUUCCACCUCCAUUGUUGGGUGUGUUUGGCCUUGAAAAGCUUAUUUUGGCAAAGGAGAGGCUAGAGGAAGAAAGAGGAAGUUGUCAAGGAAGGAGUUGAGUGGCUGGAGAUUGUAGAUCUGGAAGGAUAUCAUCCUUUGGAGCCUAGUUGAGGUAUAAAGCUUCUUGCUUGUCAUUUAUAUUGCAUAGAUCUAAGUGUUAUGAAGUUUUGACAUCAUCCUUGUCUCAAAAGUCCUCAUCUUGAUGCAUGUUUUGAGUUGGUCAAGAUUAUCUGUCCUUUCAGACCUUUGGAGAGGUCUUGAGUGAGAAAAAGGAGGUCCCAAGGCUGUGGUUGUUCCAUGUGUGAGAUAUGUAGGUAUUAAUAGGUUAAGACCUUGGAUUAAGAGCUUUAUGGACGUCCCAAGUGAUAAAGUUUGAGACUUUAUGAAUCUUAGGCAUAUUUGGCCUAGGGAUUUGAAGUUUGGGCUUAAGAGCUUAAGCCAUUAAGAAGUUAUGAGGACUUAAUGAGUAGCGAAGUUACGUUCCGUGUAACAUAGGAGUACCCCCCGCGUAGCGGGUCAGUGCCCCGAUCCCCAGUUGCGAAUCAGCGAGUACGCCAAGCGUACCAGGGAAGGUACGCCUAGCGUAUUCCCUCUGNUUCAGACCUUUGGAGAGGUCUUGAGUGAGAAAAAGGAGGUCCCAAGGCUGUGGUUGUUCCAUGUGUGAGAUAUGUAGGUAUUAAUAGGUUAAGACCUUGGAUUAAGAGCUUUAUGGACGUCCCAAGUGAUAAAGUUUGAGACUUUAUGAAUCUUAGGCAUAUUUGGCCUAGGGAUUUGAAGUUUGGGCUUAAGAGCUUAAGCCAUUAAGAAGUUAUGAGGACUUAAUGAGUAGCGAAGUUACGUUCCGUGUAACAUAGGAGUACCCCCCGCGUAGCGGGUCAGUGCCCCGAUCCCCAGUUGCGAAUCAGCGAGUACGCCAAGCGUACCAGGGAAGGUACGCCUAGCGUAUUCCCUCUGUUGGGUUUUUCAUUUUGGGCCUUAGGGUUUGGGCUGUUAUUUGGGCUGCUGGAUGUUGGGCCGUGACUGGACAUUAUGGAUAGAGUAUUGUGGGCCCAUUAGUUGUCAUGGCUCAUGGGUCUAGGCCCAUUUGGUGAGGUGGGCCCAAUUUACUAAAUUGGGCCAAUAGUGGGCUUUGCUUCGGACUUUUGGACUUUAGGCCAUUGGUGGGCUUGGGAGCUUACCUAGUGUUGGGCCGGAUUGAGUUAAGGGUAAAAUGGUCAAUUUACCCUUGGAAGGGUUUUGUGCUUAGCCUAAUGAUU
rnacentral:lncRNA from 1 species